GGGGCGUUAGCUCAGCGGGAGAGCACUUGCAUGGCAUGCAAGGGGUCGGGGGUUCGAAUCCCCCA
rnacentral:tRNA from 1 species